CGGUUGAUCCUGCCGGACCCUACUGCUAUCGGAGUUGGACUAAGCCAUGCAAGUCGUGGGGGAUUUGCUAUGAAAUCACCCGGCGAACAGCUCAGUAACCCGUAGUCAAUCUACCCUCAGGACGGGAAUAUAUGCGGGAAACUGCAUUUAAUUCCCGAUAAACACCAACGGCUGGAAAGCGUUGGUGUUGAAACCCUCACUCUCAUGCGGAGUGAGGGUGCCUGAGGACGAGACUGCGGCCCAUUAGGUAGUAGGUGGGGUAAUGGCCCACCUAGCCUAGAAUGGGUACGGGCAACGAGAGUUGUAGCCCGGAGAUGGACACUGAGACAAGGGUCCAGGCCCUACGGGGCGCAGCAGGCGCGAAACCUCCACUAUGCACGAAAGUGCGAUGGGGCAACUCCGAGUGUUUGCCUAAUAGGCAAACUUUCCCUAAGCGUAGCAAGCUUGGGGAAUAAGGAGAGGGCAAGACUGGUGCCGGCCGCCGCGGUAAAACCAGCUCUUCGAGUGGUAGGGAUGAUUAUUUGGGCUAAAGCGUCCGUAGCCGGACCCGCAAGUCCACGGUAAAAGGACAGAUCUCAAAUCUGUACAUUGCCGUGGAUACUGCGGGUCUAGGAACCGGGAGAGGUGAAAGGUACUCCAAGGGUAGAGGUGAAAUUCUAUAAUCCUUGGAGGACCACCUAUGGCGAAGGCAUUUCACUGGAACGGGUUCGACGGUGAGGGACGAAAGCCAGGGGAGCGAGCCGGAUUAGAUACCCGGGUAGUCCUGGCCGUAAACGAUGCGUGCUAGGUGUCAGGAUACUUGCGGAGUAUCCUGGUGCCGAAGGGAAGCCGUUAAGCACGCCCCCAGGGAAGUACGCCCGCAAGGGUGAAACUUAAAGGAAUUGGCGGGGGAGCAC
rnacentral:rRNA from 1 species